rnacentral:rRNA from 1 species
GUAGGGGGCGAGCGUUGUUCGGAAUUACUGGGCGUAAAGGGCGCGUAGGCGGCUUCUUGUGUCGAGGGUGAAAACCUAUGGCUUAACCAUAGGCCUGCCCCCGAAACUGAGGAGCUUGAGGCCGUAAGAGGAAAGCGGAAUUCCUGGUGUAUCGGUGAAAUGAGUUGAUAUCAGGAGGAACACCGGUGGCGAAGGCGGCUUUCUGGUGCGGUUCUGACGCUGAGGUGCGAAAGCAUGGGGAGCAAACGGGAUUAGAUACCCCGGUAGUCCAUGCCGUAAACGAUGAGAACUAGGUGUCGGGGGAUCAACCCCCUCGGUGCCGCAGCUAACGCAUUAAGUUCUCCGCCUGGGGAGUACGGCCGCAAGGCUA